ensembl:snRNA U6 U6 spliceosomal RNA
GUGCUCACUUCAGCAGCAUAUAUACUAAAAUCAGAACAAUUCAGAGAGGACCAGCAUGCCUCCUGCAGAAGGAUGACACAUAUUUGUGGUGUUACGUAUUUUC